rnacentral:lncRNA from 1 species
UGGCAAUGCCUCAGGGACGCGCGCGCGCCCUCGCCACCCUUUCCCUUUCUACCCGCAGGCUCUCGGUUCUGCGGCACAUUGCGGUGGCGGGCCAGGCGGCAGCCUCUCCCCUCCUUCUCGCCCGGCGGGCGGCCGAGGCAGCCUCGGCACCCGGCGCGCGCGGGCCCUUUAAGAGCUACACCAGCCGAGCUGCAGUUUGACAUCAGCCGGCCGGCGAGGGCGCGCCUGGAGCCGAAGCACGUGCCAGGAUGUUUUAUUGCCGCCGCGGCUGCGGCCGGGCCGGGAGGAUGUGUGUGUGCAUGCGUGUGUGAGUGUGUGUGCGCGCGCCCCGGGGGCAGGGAGGCGGGGGGCGGCGGCGGGCGGCGGAGCGCGGGGGCUGGUUCCUGGUCCCCGGGAGAAGCCAAGAAGCCCCUGGAGACAGACCUGGCCUUAAAGACCCCUGCAGCCUCAGGGCCCCUCAAACAUGAGAACAGGCAUGAGGUGCUUCAUCAGCUUGGCGGUUGGUUUGCUGGUAUAUGGCAUAUGCCUGGUGAGCCACACUCUGGGAUUCAAAACCCCUAGGCGCAGUUGUGUCCAGACGCCCAGGGGUUAAGCGGGCGCCACCCCCGCGUCCCCGUGCGCGGCCAGAGUCGGGACCUGCUCGGCGGCGCCCGCGCUGCCUUGACUCGCGGCCAGGCCUGGCGCGGCCGCCGGCGGUGGAAUGUGCGAGCGCCAUGUGUCACCGCCCCAGACUGUGGGAAAAGGCUGCUCCGCUCACCUCCCAGCAGCUGCCCGGCCGCCCGCCCGCCCAGCCGGGAAACAGGAGCCGCGGCCACCCGGCCCGGGCACUGCCGAGCGCGCGCCACCGCCCCGGCCGCCGGGCCCUCGCCGCAGGGCCCUUUGCCUGCCCUCCGUAUUCUGCUGGGCUCAUCUCGUCUCUCUCGGUUUAAUCCGGUCUCGUUCGUCCCCACAGAGAGGCCCUGUUGGGUGCAGGGAAUGAAGGGGUCGGAGGCGCUGUGAUUUAGAAGCUGGAGGGACGCCCAGCCACUGGGGGUGUCCGAGCCAGCACCUUCUUGGUCCCCUGCCAGGGGCCCUGGGGUGGGGCUCAGUGAUGAGAGAGCUCUGAGCAGGAGGCCCCGCUGUACCUGCUUCCCGCAGAUCAGAAACCACCGCCUGCAGGGGCUGGGCAGGAGAUCUGCACCUCCCCGAGGGGUCCCGCCCCGACUCUCGGGAGGACCCCCAACUCUAGCCCGGCGCCUGGUGUGAGUGCCAUCCCGUGGUGCUCAGAAAUCCCCCGAGGCCACGACCUUCCGACUCCAGUCAUCGCGGGAAACUUAUUCAAGGUCACCCUGCUGGGUGGCAGCAGAGCUGCUUCUAGAAUCCUAGUCCAGCGCCCCUUUUGCCGCUCCUCCACGCUCCCCUCCUAGGCAUGUGCCCCUUCUCAGCAGCCUAGUGCCCCUAACUGAGGUCCCUGACUUAACUAGAGAAGUUGGGAGUGGGACACACGGGGACGGGGGUAAACCAUGUGUCCUAGGACCCCAGCAGCUUUGCUUAACGUCAGCCUCAUGCUGCCAGAGGUCCCACUCCUGUUACCUCAGCCCGUCUUCCUGGGGGUACAUCGCCCUACAAGUCUUCCAUCCUGGUUAGUGAAUCCGCCACUGCAUCCCAGCACUCUACCACCACCUUUCCAUUUCUGCGCCUUGUUCCUGCUUGUCCUUCAAUGUCCCAUCCCGAGGUCACCUCCUCUGUGGAGCCUUCCCAGAUAUCCCCAAUCAGGGCUCAACCAGUCCCUGUCCUGAACUCCUUUAACACUUGAUUCCUGUCCUUUCUUAUGGCAUUUGUAGCCCCCUAUAACUCAUGAUCUACAUGUCCUUUCCUCCUUUCUACAAUUUCUCUUUUCUUUUUUUUAAAGAUUGGCACCUGAGCGAACAACUUUUUUUUUUUUUUCUGCUUUUUCUCCCCCAAAUCCUCCCAGUAUAUAGUUGUACAUUUCUUAGUUGUGGGUCCUCCUAGUUGUGGCAGGUGGGAUGCCGCCUCACUGUGGCCUGACCAGUGCUGCCCUGUGUGCACCCAGGAUCCAAAGUGGUGAAACCCUGGACCACCGAAGCGGAGUGCGUGAUCUUAACCACUCGGCCACGGGGCCAGGCCCUACAGAGACUGCUGCCCUCCUUUUUAUAUCCCCCACAAACAGCAGUCUGGGGCGGUCUGCUUUUGGAAUCUGCUCCGUUUGUGGCUGAAUGAACUAACAAAUGGAUGCUUUUCAAAUGCAAUCUAUCCCUGGCUCACAUUUCACUUACCAAGCGUGUGACCUUGGGCAAGUUGCUUAACUUCCUUAAGUCUCAGUUUUCUCACCUGUAAAAUGGAGAUAAGUUCAUUGGUAUUGGGUGUGAAGCGGAUCUGUGUGGCUGGCACACAGCAGGUGCUGAAUAAAAUAUAUGUACCUAUAUAUGAAACUGCUAAA